AAAAAAGCAUUCAUCUUUUAUAAAUACAGUUAUUUUCUGUUAAAAAUGUAAUUGAGUAGUUGAUUUAAAACACAUUUAAAGUGUUAUUUCUUUAGAAAUCAUUAUUUAUUUUUAGUAAUAUAUCUUAUUUUGGAUUUUAUUUAUUGCAGUAACUGAUGACUGGCUCAUACAUUCAGGUUUUCUUUACCAUGUUGUUUGUGUGGAGAUAGAUACCUCAAUCUGCCAACUCUGUUACAAUAGUAAAAUUUUAUCUGAAACACUGUGACAGUCAUUCCAUUUCAAUAACAUGCAGGAUUUUCAUGGGUGAAAUAUACAAUCCAUGUACAUGUCUGUAGACAUUAGGUUGAAAUAAGACUGAGUGUUCAAUUUAGUAAUUGCUUGAACAGAAUAGGUCAAUAAUACAUAAAGUCUCUCUUAGUAAACACUGGCACAAAGUAAAGUCAUCAACUCUGGGACAGACUUUCAUUUUGAAAUUUCAACAGAUAAUACCACUUUUUUUACAAGAAUUUAAAGUUGCCAACUGUAGAAUUAUUAAAUUUGCCAUAAUACUUCAGUAGUGACGUGGGGCCUCAUGUAUAACGCCGUGCGUAGAACUCACACUAUAACAUGGCGUAAGCACAAAAGCGGGAUUGUGCGAACGCACAGAAAAAUCCAGAUGCAGGAAUCUGUGCGCACGCAUACUUUCAAGUUCUUCCACUACAUAAAUCCCGAUUUGCGUGAAAAGUAACGCACGUGCACGCGCCUUCUGUCCCGCCCCAACUCCUCCCAGAAUUACGCCUCUUUGAAUAUGCAAAUCAAUAUAAAUAGCCUUCUGUGAAAAGACAAUGGGAAAAGCACGGGAGAAAAUAUAAGAAUUUCAGCGAAUACCAAGUGGAGGCAAAGGAAAAACGUACUAUUUGUUGGUUUAAACAGUGGUAUAAUCAACAAAAGGAAGCUGAUCGAGUGACAGAGUGUCGGAGAAACUCGAAGGCUCAACUUCACAAAGUCGCACAGUGCCCGAAAUAAAAAAGAAAUCACAUAUCAAAGUCGCCGUGAAAAAGCGAGUCGUAGCCCACCGUCUGAGUGUCAUAUGAAAGCUUAUUAGGGUACAGACAAAAAAAAGGCAUACAGUGGGGAAAAAAGCACGAAAUGUCAACUUUAAUCUCGAAAUUUCCACUUUAAUCACGUAGUUUAUUUUGCCAUUAAAGUAGAACAUCAUAAACUUCAUCUUAAAAUCGUUUAAUUUACUAGUUUCUCAAAUCCCAUUGUAACUAAAGUGGCAUGUUAAAUGCUUUGUUCUGUAUUUGAUCUUCUAUGUGCUCUAUUUGUAUGAAUCACUACCUGCUUUUUAAAUGGACUUUCUCUUUCUCCGACAGGACACAUAAUCCAUUACAUUUGUGAUAUUACAGCUCUCUGAAUAAUUAAAAUACUGAGAUGUAUACGUGAUAUCUUUUUCAUGAUGAUAGGAAUGAAAGCAUGUUAUUAAACAUGGGAACACGGUGGCGCAGUGCUUGUUCAUGUCUCACGCAAGAGGCUUGCUGCGCCAUGCGCAACCUUCAAUGAAAUAAUUUAUCACAGCAGUACUGUCUCUUUCAAACGUACUAACCUCCAAUUCCUGUCCUUACUUUUCUUUCUCCAAAAACUCAAUCGCCACACAAUAAGCUAUGUAAUAGACGUGAAACCAUCUGUAAGCUUAGAACUUCGAUUCAUCAAAACUUUUAAGGAACAUUGAAAUAUCUUAGUAGUACGUGUUUAAUUAUUAUAUCCGUCUAUCUUUCCAGUGACGCGUCAGCACCAGCAAGAAUACAGCGCAAGGCAGGAACAAUUACUGAACUAGCUAGCGCUGCAGCACCGUGCCCUCACAUGUUUAAUUAUUAACAAUACAGAUUAUUUAAAUGAAGUUAAAGUUUUAUCUGUAUAAUAUAAUCAACAUGUUUUGCUGCAUUUUGUCUUAGAAAUGAAUACUGUCAUCAUAUGUAAAUACGCGCUUUAUAAAGUGGCGCAGGUUGUGCAAUAUUAUAACUGUAGUGCAAGUUUACAGUGGGGUAAUUGUACUUAUAAGUACAAACAGUUCUACAAGGAGCACUUGAUGGACUGAUUUAAUGCGUUUAGAGUUCUUGGGAUGAAACUGUUUCUAAACCGCGAAGUCCGUACAGGGACUAAAGCGUUUGCUGUGGCUCAGGCAGCAUCUGCUUCAUGCUGUGUACCGAUAAUGCUGCUGUGAUUUCCCACUCAGAUACAGUGAUAUAAAUACUCCGAGUGGUGCAGUGAGAGUAAUACGGAAAAAGAUGAUCUGCUGUGGCAACCCUUAACGGGAUCAGCUGAAAGAAGAUGCAGUGAGAGUUACAACGCUAAAGCAGUUAUGGUAUUUGGAAUACUAUGGCUAUUCCCUGGACCAUUAUAUUGCUACAGGUUAAUUACAAUCAGAUGCAUUACACUAAUAAACAAUAUGCAGUUAAUUUCAGUGUAUUUAUAAAGCCGCACCAGGAAUGUGGAUUUAAGAAAGAAAGGGUGAUCACACAGGAACAGUAGCACUGCUUUGACGCUGGGUGCCGCCAGUCUGCAAAACCGGGCGGAUAAAUUACGUACGCCAAGGAAUGAGUUACCGUGGAAAUGUGCGUGGCUUUACGCCAAGUUUAGGUUUUAUACAUCGCGAUUUGAGCGUGGAAAGGUUUGUACGCAACAUUUCUGUGCGUACGCACCAUUUAUACAUGAGGCCCCUGGGCAUUGGAUAUUUAGUGGAAGCUGAAAUGCUUGACAAUGAAAGCAAAGUUCUUCUCUCAUACUACUUCACUUCAUCUUAAUGUAGUUGAAAUAAAAAAGAGCAAUAUUGCAUUGUCAUGUUAGUCUUGAGGAUGUGUUUGAAGUAUAUUUCAAACAUCUGCUAAAUCAACUCUGGAAGCCAUAUGUGUGGCAUCCAUGGCAAAAGACUGGUCAACUAUGGUGAAUAAUUGUAGUAUAUAGUAAAACAACUUAACACAAAUGGUCAAAAUUACAGAUAAUAACAAAAUAUACAGACAAGAAACAAAGCAUUAGCAAAGGCUUGGCUUUAUAGUCUUCAGAAGAUCUACAGAAUUCAUCUUCAGCUAAGUUCCUCAUCAGCACAACCUUGCUUUCAAUGCAUGCAUUAGCCCAAAAAAGUUUUUUAAGAAUGAUUUUGUUUAACAAAAUUUUCUGAACCGAUGUUGAUUUUAGCUUAGUAUGAGAUUGAACUUUCAACCUUUAUUAGUUACAUCCCUUGAAAAACCUCAGUGAUUGUGAUGAUUUUUUUCAAGAUGUUAUAGAUAUUAGUGAAACUAAUUUCCCACAGGUAUGAUAUUUUACUAGUAACUUAUGUACUUUGUUCAUGAUUUAACUUCAAAAAAUCAAGUAGGGAUUACAAUCACUAGAGCAACCCUAAAGUUUUAUUUCAAUUGUGGAAUUAUUGUAAAGAAAAUACUCCCCCAUAUGAUCAAAAUCUAUACUUGAAUUAAAAAUGGUGAAUUACUUUGUUCAUUGCCAGGUAUAUAUUACUUUCCACAAAAAAUAGAAUACAAUAGAAUAGAAAGUCUUUUAUUUGUCAUUGCACAAAUAUACAUGAACAUUUUAGUGUGUCCUCUUAAUAAUACAUAAAAUAUCAUAAAAAUAGAAUCUUCAACAGAUUCAACAAAUUUUCUGCAUUUUAAACUACAUACAAGCAUUAAUAUAAAACAAUAAAACCAAUAAAGCCUUGAGUGCCUCUGUAUGAAUACAUACAGUAUAUCCAAUGUGUGAAAAUAUAAAUAGUAGAGUAGUUGAGUUUUAAAAUAAUUGCAAUGAGUCACCAAUACUUGCACUUUUGUCUCAUUUAUGCCAUGGGUAACAAUGAAAGACAUGAAAUCAAAACCUUGCACUUAAGAUUCAGUAAACAGUUAUUUAACAGAAUUUAGUUCUUUGAUAUGCCAUGUUCUGUGUAUUUUCCAUGAUUGGAUCAAAGUCCAAGAUUGAUGGAGCUGGGAUGUUUAGCUGGUGAUGGUGCACUUUAUUUUUGUAGAUAUUGAGCCUGUGCUGUUAUUUUGCAUGAUCACCAAAUUAUCAUACAUAUAAAACUGAUACAGUUAUAUAUAUGAGAAGAUUUGGGUACACCUGUGUAAUUUUGUUUCAUUCUUAAGUCAUAGUAGCUUGCAAUUCUGAAUACAAUUCAAUACAAUACUCAAUUGUUGGUGUUUUUUGAUACUUCCAAUAUACAACUACAGUUUAUUUUAAUAGCAUGUUCUUCAUACUUUUAUUUAAACUGAAUACUCAGAUGCUCUAAGUUGAAUGAGUCCAAGAACAAAGAUCCAGAAAUGUUUGGCACCUUCUACAUAUAAUGCAAAGUGAAGUUCUUGCUUUUAAGCUCUAAGGUUAUUUUCACACUAGAAAGGAAGGAAAGUAAAUACACCUGUGCAACUGAAAAGGAAUCAGUAUGACUCGAUAUGACUGCAUUUGAAUGCAGACCAAUGCAUGGUUUUGAGAGAAGCAUGUAAUGAAAGACCAACAUUGAAGAGAAAAGACUUGAGGGCUCCCAAAUGAAUUACUAUAUGAUUGGGUGUCCUAUAAAAUGAUAUUAAAAUGUUAAUUGUUUCUGGAUUGGUUGUCAAAAUACAAAUUAACCAAAGGAAAAAAAAAUAAAAUAAAAAAAUAAACACAGUUCAUAUAAAGCAGUCUUUAGGAUCAAUCUUGCAUGCUUUGAUAUAAUUAACCAAAAUAUCACUGCUCUUAGAAACAAUUUCUUCCAUGCUGCCCUACUGUGAGCACAGUUUUCACAAAAUAUUUUUUUUCAUGAUGAUAGACUUGAGCAAUGAAUAUUGACUUAAAAAAAAAAAAAAAAGAAUGGGGAUCUGCAGAUCCUUUGAUGUUGCAUUGGAGUUAUGUGGUACUUUACAAUGUUUUUUCACUGCAUUCCCUAAUUUACUCUCAUCUUUUUUGGAGGGGAUGUUCACAAAAAACUGUUGAUUAGGGCAUGAUGUGCCUCUAGAAUGUGUGUAGUGUGAUCUUCACUCUGUUGAUGGGACCUGUAGUUUUUAGUAAUUUAUACAGUUAAAGCUUCCCCGAAUCAAUCCUGAUGGCUUACUAAAGUAUUCACAGACAGUAGCAGGCAUACCUUUAAUUAGAUUGAUUUGACGGAGCAGUUACUUUUUGGAAUAGAGACACUGAAUGUUGAAAUAAUUUGUGCAAGUGUUAGACACUUAUUUAAUGAACAAUUUGUUCUCUGUAGUACUCUGUCUGUCAUUGGAUAUCUGAAAACCAGUAUUCAGAACAUGUAAAUGUGCAUUAAAAAAGGAGGUAUAUACUCUUUAAAGCUUGAGUGUCAAUAUAAGGCCCCUGCAAACUACUACACCUCAGCCAUAGGCUUCUUUGUAAUAUAUAAUUAAUUUUUUUUUCUAUUUAUUAAUUAAUUGUUGGAUUUUAUUCAGAUAUCUUAAAAAGCAUUCAUCGAGUGUUACAAGUUUAAAAAAAAAAUCUUUAUUCUUUGCCGCUGUUAGGGAAGACUAGGAUAUUUUAUCAAUGAAUGUGAGGCUCAAAUAUUUUUGACUGACUGUUAUGAAGUUUUUUGCUUAAUUUGCUUGCACAGUUUAGAAUAUGGUUAUAUUAAAUAUCAAAGUAGCAGCCUGUGGACUUUAUGAUUUUAACAUUGAUUAAGUAUUAAGCUAACAAUAGUUUCUCUAAUGGCUUUAUUCAGUUUGCCCUUCAGACAAGCCCAACUAGGUUCAGUUUCCUCUUCUUGGAAGCAACUGCAGCUCUUCAGAUAAUGUGGCUUUAUUUAUAUUUUAAUAUUAUUCUUGAACAAUAUAUGCAAAUAAUUGAACUUUUUAUUUGUGUCCUAAGUAGAAGGAUUAGUUUAAAUGACAAUAUGAAGUCUGGCUUGCCUCAGAUAUUGCUAUGCUGCUUCAUUUAUCAUUGGCUGUAUUUUAGGGCACUUUAGGCAAACCAGAUAUCACGUAAGGACAAUGACAUGAUUUCUGCUUUGCACUAUAUUGUCUCAUAAAUGACCUUAUGCUUACUUGUAUUACUCUCUGAAAGAAAGUCACAACAUUCUAAGAAUCAUUUCAGUUUAUAUAGUGCAAAGUAUGCUGCACAUCUCUGGGAAGUUAGUCAAAGGGUUAGUGUAAAUAUAACAUUUACCAUGUAUUUGUCUGUAUAAACAAUUAUCAAUGUAUGUAAAAGAUUUUACACUUUAACUGUAACUAUAUUUCUGGUUAUCUUUAUGAAGGAAAACAGUAGUGAAUGGAAAAGUUUAAUUGUAUUAAAGAAUAUGUGAGUUUCUGUGAAGUUUGUAAAAUAUAUGAAUUUACUAACGUAAUACAACAGGGGAAUUAAUUACUGUAUAUUAUUUUUUCACUGAACUCCUGUAUUAAACAAAAUGUAAAGUAGUUAAGUUAAUAGGUAAGAAAAUGCAAGUUUUGUUUUGUACUUAAACUAAAUAUCUUCUGUAUUCAGCACAUAUUGUGAGGUGUUUGCAAAAUAAAUUUGCAUGUUUACAGCCUUGUAGGCUGAUAA